rnacentral:rRNA from 1 species
GAUGAACGCUGGCGGCGUGCCUAAUACAUGCAAGUCGAGCGAAUGGAUUAAGAGCUUGCUCUUAUGAAGUUAGCGGCGGACGGGUGAGUAACACGUGGGUAACCUGCCCAUAAGACUGGGAUAACUCCGGGAAACCGGGGCUAAUACCGGACAACAUUUUGAACCGCAUGGUUCGAAAUUGAAAGGCGGCUUCGGCUGUCACUUAUGGAUGGACCCGCGUCGCAUUAGCUAGUUGGUGAGGUAACGGCUCACCAAGGCAACGCUGCGUAGCCGACCGGAGAGGGUGAUCGGCCACACUGGGACUGAGACACGGCCCAGACUCCUACGGGAGGCAGCAGUAGGGAAUCUUCCGCAAUGGACGAAAGUCUGACGGAGCAACGCCGCGUGAGUGAUGAAGGCUUUCGGGUCGUAAAACUCUGUUGUUAGGGAAGAACAAGUGCUAGUUGAAUAAGCUGGCACCUUGACGGUACCUAACCAGAAAGCCACGGCUAACUACGUGCCAGCCGCCGCUGUAA